rnacentral:lncRNA from 1 species
CAGGCCGGCCCUUCUCGCGGCCUCGCAGUGUCUCUCUCCAGGAGCCAGCUUCGUUGAAGUGGGCCAGGCUGAAGUGAGGCCAGCUUUGCCUGCUGCAGCCCUGUGGUCUGUGUCCAAAUUGCUGAGUACUGCCGGGAGAGGGAGCCGGGAGUGCCUGCGUCUCCUGCUGUCAGCCGGUCUGACUGCCUGAGCGGAGCUGUU